rnacentral:rRNA from 1 species
AAAUAGCUUUAGGGCUAGCCUCAAGUGAUGAUUAUUGGAGGUAGAGCACUGUUUGGACGAGGGGCCCCUCUCGGGUUACCGAAUUCAGACAAACUCCGAAUGCCAAUUAAUUUAACUUGGGAGUCAGAACAUGGGUGAUAAGGUCCGUGUUCGAAAGGGAAACAGCCCAGACCACCAGCUAAGGUCCCAAAAUAUAUGUUAAGUGGAAAAGGAUGUGGCGUUGCCCAGACAACUAGGAUGUUGGCUUAGAAGCAGCCAUCAUUUAAAGAGUGCGUAAUAGCUCACUAGUCGAGUGACACUGCGCCGAAAAUGUACCGGGGCUAAACAUAUUACCGAAGCUGUGGAUUGUCCUUUGGACAAUGGUAGGAGAGCGUUCUAAGGGCGUUGAAGCAUGAUCGUAAGGACAUGUGGAGCGCUUAGAAGUGAGAAUGCCGGUGUGAGUAGCGAAAGACGGGUGAGAAUCCCGUCCACCGAUUGACUAAGGUUUCCAGAGGAAGGCUCGUCCGCUCUGGGUUAGUCGGGUCCUAAGCUGAGGCCGACAGGCGUAGGCGAUGGAUAACAGGUUGAUAUUCCUGUACCACCUAUAAUCGUUUUAAUCGAUGGGGGGACGCAGUAGGAUAGGCGAAGCGUGCGAUUGGAUUGCACGUCUAAGCAGUAAGGCUGAGUAUUAGGCAAAUCCGGUACUCGUUAAGGCUGAGCUGUGAUGGGGAGAAGACAUUGUGUCUUCGAGUCGUUGAUUUCACACUGCCGAGAAAAGCCUCUAGAUAGAAAAUAGGUGCCCGUACCGCAAACCGACACAGGUAGUCAAGAUGAGAAUUCUAAGGUGAGCGAGCGAACUCUCGUUAAGGAACUCGGCAAAAUGACCCCGUAACUUCGGGAGAAGGGGUGCUCUUUAGGGUUAACGCCCAGAAGAGCCG